GUGAGGAAUAUUGCGCAAUGGAGGCAACUCUGACGCAGCCAUGCCGCGUGCAGGAAGAAGGCGCUACGCGUUGUAAACUGCUUUUAACCGGGAAGAAACCCCAGGACGUGUCCUGGGUUGACGGUACCGGAGGAAUAAGCACCGGCUAACUUCGUGCCAGCAGCCGCGGUAAUACGAAGGGUGCAAGCGUUAUCCGGAUUCAUUUGGUUUAAAGGGUGCGUAGGCGGAUCGUUAAGUCAGUGGUGAAACUCUGCAGCUUAACUGUAGACUUGCCAUUGAUACUGGCGCUCUUGAGUGCGCUUGAAGUGGGCGGAAUGUGACGUGUAGCGGUGAAAUGCUUAGAUAUGGCACAGAACACCAAUUGCGAAGGCAGCUCACUAAGGCGAUACUGACGCUGAGGCACGAAAGCGUGGGGAUCGAACAGGAUUAGAAACCCGGGUAGUCC
rnacentral:rRNA from 1 species